rnacentral:rRNA from 1 species
UACGGGGGGAGCAAGCGUUGUUCGGAUUUACUGGGCGUAAAGGGCGCGUAGGCGGCGCCGCAAGUCGACUGUGAAAUCUCCGGGCUUAACCCGGAAAGGUCAGCCGAUACUGCGGGGCUAGAGUGCAGAAGGGGCAACUGGAAUUCUCGGUGUAGCGGUGAAAUGCGUAGAUAUCUGGAGGAACACCGGUGGCGAAGGCGGCAUCCUGGACCGACACUGACACUGAGGAGCGAAAGCCAGGGGAGCAAACGGG